UUUAGGGUUUUGUGUGAGAGGUGAGUGAUGAUGGGUCUGAAAAAGUGGAAGGUCAAGAGUACAUACCUGCAUGAUUGCUGACUAUGGUAACACUAAACACUACAUUUUUUUGUUUUUGUUUUUGGUUACUCUCUCCCUAUUAUUCCAUUUUCCAACAACACACUUACUUUGUCUUUUUCUUCUUCGCCUUCUCUUUAAAACCCUCUCAAUAUUUCCUAAUUUUAAUUCCAUCAUCAUCAUCAUCUUCUUAUUCUUCUUCUUCUUCUUCUUCUUCUCAUUCCAUUGUUUUACAAGAAAGAAAAAAAGAAGACUAAUUCAUUAAUGAGUAACUCCGAAGACAAAUCUUCCAUGGCUGAUCUGGUUCAACCUUCUGAGCAUUUCUGUUAUGUCAAAUGCAACUUUUGUAACACUGUUCUUGCGGUAUAUUUUAUUGACCUGUUCAUAUAAUACUAAGUUUACUACAAUCUGUCAACUUAUUAGUGUAUGUUUGUGAGUAAUUUGAAUAGAUACAUGAGAUAAUAUUUUGUGUUAUAUGAACUAUAUUCCAUAUAUAUGUGUAUGAAUUAUGAAUGAAUGAAUUUUAUUUUUGGAUUUUGAAGGUUGGGAUUCCAUGCAGACAUUGGUUGGAUACGGUGACAGUGAAAUGUGGUCAUUGUAGUAAUCUCUCUUUUUUGAGCACAAGACCUCCUUUACAAGGCCAAUGCAUUGAUCAUCCUCUAACUUUUCAGGUUUAGGGAGAUUUUUAGUUUCUUUAAAUUAAAAAGAAACGUUAUUAUAUAUAUAUAUAUUAUCCUAACUAAUUAAUUACAUUUACAAAUAAUAUAGUCUCAGGUUGGAUUCUCCAAUAAUGAUCAUAUUCGAAAGGGUGCUUCCACAUCUUCCACUUCCACUGCCUCUUCAAUCACAAAUGAUUCUCCAAAUUUUGUUGUCAAACGUAUGUAUAAUUUCAUUAUGAUAUUCACAUUUUUUUUGGAAACUAAUAGAAAUUAUAUGUAAAACAACUUUGAAGUAGAAGUGAUCUAUAAGUUUGAUUUUGAAAAACCAAAAACUAGAAACCAAGACAACACUGUUUCUUUAAUUUUUCAAAAUUUUCUAUCUAAAAAAUUGAACUUUAAAUAAUAAUUUGGAAUUCCAAAUAUGUAUUCUUUUUUAGUUUUGCUUGAACUUGGAAACACUCAUAAAAUAACAAAACAUAUUUAUAAUAGAUGGCUAUUAAAGAAGGGUUUAAGUACUCAUGAAAAUAUAAUAUGUAAUUUUAUCAUCACCCAUGGGUUAAAGUUUUGGGUCAAUCCUACUUUGAUGUGUUUAAACCUAAGAUAAUAUAAUAUAACAUUAAAAUUUACUUUCACUUAUAAACUUAUCUUAUUGAUUUAUUAUUAUUAUUUGUGUACAGCCCCUGAGAAGAAACAUAGACUCCCAUCUGCUUACAAUCGUUUCAUGAAGUAAGAAUAAUUACAACUUAUUAAUUACAAAAGGAAUAGAAAAUUAAUUUUUCUUAAUUAGUUCUUUAAGAAUUGAAACUUUAUUAUAUUACAAUAUAUACAUUAUUGUUUUAAUGUUAGAGAGGAAAUUCAACGUAUCAAAGCUGCCAACCCAGAAAUACCUCAUCGAGAAGCAUUUAGUGCAGCAGCAAAAAACGUAAUCAACUUUCUUUUUAAUCUAUACAUCUUUUCUUUUAUUUUUUUUCAUUUUAAAAUCUAUAGUUUCUUUAUUGUUAUAACUUUUUUUUCUUCACAACAGUGGGCAAGGUACAUUCCUAAUUCAGCUGCUGGGUCGGUUUCUGGUACUCACAACAACAAUGUAAGAAAGAAAUUGUAACAAAUAUAAAAGUUUGAAUGGUUCAAUUUUAUCAUUUAGUGAUAAUUUUCUCUAAUUAAUCAAUAUGAAUAUGCAACUAUUGUUGACAUUAAUGGAUUUUAGGGGCUUUUUCAAUUUUGCAGGAAUGAAAGGGUUAUAAUUAGGACAGUGGAAGAUGGGGGCGAAUCAUAUGGCUGUCUAAUCUAGGGUUUGAUAAAGUUAAAGAAUUGACCAUGUCUUAUGUCUUUCGUAUCGUCAUUUUUUCCUCGCACUUCUUGUUUUUUCUUUGUGUUAUGUUUUUGCUUUUUCGUGGAUGAAUCUUUGUUCGUUGUAUCGAUUUAAAGCUAUAAGAUCGAGUUGUAUUUUCUAAUAUCAUAGUAUAAUUGUAAUUCACUUUUUUUAUAUAUAUAUAUUAUUUUUGAAGUAAAAGGUUCAAAUCUUGACGUAGUCUAUUAUAUUUGUGAACAAGUUUUUGGAUGAACAUAAAAUUAAAUCGUGCAUCCUAUUAAAAUUUACAGUUUGUGUCAAUUAAUAUCUUUUCUUGCCCUAAAAAUGUGAGAUUAAAUGGAUAUGUAUGAUCAAAUAUGGAGUUAAAAGUAAAAAUGUGUUGCUUAGAAAAAGAACAAAAUAAAAAGGGGUUGGGAGUGGAAACGACAGUCCCGGGUAGGACGUCAUGUCGUCGGGACGUGGGAAAGUAAAAGACGACAGUGAAAGUAAUGUCGGGGGAGAAAGAGAAGAGUUGAAAGGAGACGGAGUUUUGAACUUUUGAGGUUUACCAAACGGCAGCGUUUAGUUAAGAUUUUUUGCUCCAAUCUUUUUGGUCGUCACUUCUUGUUCAUGUUAAUAUUGGCCCAAUAUUCUGGCCCAAAAACUUCCUUUUUAUUUAUUUAUUUAAUGAAACUUUAUUACUGAUAAAGAGUUUAUUAAUAAUAAUAUCACAUUAUUUGAUAGAUUAUGAAAUAUUGAAAUCUUUUGUUAUAUUGAAAUUUUUUACUUUUUUUUCCAUUGUGUGAUAUAACAUCUACUAAUAUUUUUUAUUAUUACAACACAACGUACUAUUUUUAUUAAAAAUAUAAAAAAUAAUCUACAUAGACUAGAAUUGAACACGUUUAUAACUAGAAAGAUAUCUAAAUUUUAAAUGAUAGUUAAUUAACUAGAAUGAAUUUAAUAAGUUAUUAAUCUUUCAAUUUUUCUUUUGCCUAAUGAAGAUCUAAAAAAUUAAACUUUAAAUUUGUGUUUAACAGGUAUAAGAAUCAUUUGAGUUCUUUUUAGUUAUUAUUUUUUUCCCUUUUUCUCAAGGAUGUUGAGUAAGUGAAAUUUGGUUUGACAAAGAAAAAAAGAGAGGAUGAUUUCAAUUUCCCAAAAGAAUAAUAAUAAUUGACAAACAAAAAGGGCCAAAUCAUGAUAUCGCAUGACUUGUAGGUAUAUUAUUUUGCUUUUCUAAAACCUAAAAUUUAGAUAUAUAUAUAUAUAUAGACAUGAUAAAAUGAAUCUUACAAAAUAAAAGAAAUAUUAUGGAAAAGCUAGUGGUGGAAAAGAAAAUAUAAAUAUCAAAUUAAGCCUAGUCUAACAAUAUAUAAUUAACAUGUCUUUCAUCUUUCAACAAUUAGUUAAUUUGUAAAUGUUACACACAUUAUAUAAAGAAUCAUGUUGAAUUGAAAUUUUAAUUAAAUAAAACAAUUGAUACAAAACAGUGAUAAUAAUAAUAAUAAAUCGAUAAUGAUGAUUUUAAAUAAUAGAUAGAGUAGUUCUCUUAUCAAUGAAAUUAGGAAUUAAGAAUUGUUGGUAAAGUAUUAUUUUUCUCUUGAUAAACAUGGAUUACCUUUUCUAAGAUUAGUUAUAUAAUAUGUGUUAGGGGUGAUCACUUUGGAUUAAGAACAGACACGACAAAACUAAAAAGAUCGAUAUGACCUUAGGACUAAAACGAAACCUAGAGAAUAUGGAGUUGCCUUUUACUUGGCCCAAGCCCAACAUGUAAGGUCGAGGUCAAACCCUAACAAAGUACCUAGCUAAUGGGACAUGUCCCAACCUCUCAAGGGAACAACUUAAGCAAAAUAUGAGGUUGCCAAUGGAAGACCCUAGUAAAUGGCUAAAUGAGGGUUGCCUCUUGCACAAUGAAUUAAAGAACAAUUCCAAUAAUAUAACUCUAAAACUAAAUUACCAAUCAAAAUGAGAUAGGUCAACUUCACUAGUAAAUAUAUUACAAUAGAUUUUACGAAUAAGCAAGUCGAUUUUAACGUAAGUAUAAGAGCUUUAUGAUAAAUAAUAUAACAACUGAUAUACAAAUCUGUCCAUCUUGUUCUUUCUCACGUUGGAUGAAGUCUUAAAUAAAAUUAAAAAAAAAAUUGAAGAGAAAUGAUUGUGGGAGAAAGAAAACCAUUUAUUGUUGAUUAUAAUGUAAACAAAAUUUAAAGAUAAGUUUGAGAAGUGAAUGAUAAGUGAAGAAGAAGAUGAAGAAGAGAAGAAAGGGUUGGACCCUCCACCCACUGAAAAGGAGUUCUGUAUAUGAUAUAUAAUGGACGAAGAGGAGGUAUGAUAUAUAAUUCAAAGCCAAAACAGAACAAUAAGGCAAAAAUGGCCAAAGGGGGGCAGUAUCAUUGCUAUCUCUACAUUAUUAUUUCUUUCAAAUUAAAAGGCUAUGAACAAAAUGAUAUAGGAUAGAACUUAGCUCUAAAUUAUUUAAUUAAUUAUGUUACCUUUGAAUAAGAACCCUCUAGAUAUAUCACUUAAAUUCUCCAUUUUGUCAACCAGACAAUUUCUUCUGUUCUGCUUAAUUUUGUAUAUCUCUUUUCUCUAUUCAUCACAAAACGACAACGUUUUUGUUCCCCCAAACUUUACGAAUAAAUUCCCAAUAAUUAAUUAUUAUGUGCAUCAUGUGUUGGAACUUGGAGUACUAUAAUUAUGAUAUAUAUUUAUAUAUAUCCCUCAUAUUUCUAAUCUCAACAUUUCUUUAAUCUUAUACAGCUUUAUAAUAAUCCAAUGUUAAUAUUCAAUAUAUAGUGUGUGUGCAUGCUAGUUUUCUUUCAUAAACCUAGACAGUAUGAAUACAAACAGUAUUGUGUCUAAUGCAAUGUUGUUAUCAAUAGGCCUAAAAUAAUUAUAAUGUUGGAUAUAACUUUUCAAUUUCUUGGACUUAUAUUAUUACACCCAAUUACUACAUCUUUAUCCAGUUUUAAAAAAUCUCAAUUAUGUUAUAUUAAAAAUCUAUUUAUAUAUUAUAGUCCAACAUUUUCAAAUCUAUCUAUUGUGCUUUAGAAUUUUCCAACUUAAAAGUUGAUCUCCAUUCAAAUCAUUAUUUAAAAUGCAAUAAUUUAACCUUUAUUUAACCAAAUCAAUUUAAUUAACUACAAGAGCUAGUGAGUGUUAUAUUGGUUACCAAAUAUUUUUAAAAUUUAAACUUAAUAAGGGUAGAUGAUUAAAUUUAAAAUUAAAAAAGUAGUUGAUAUGUUAAAAAAAAAAUAGCAGACACACAACUAAAAGUUAUUAUUUAUCCUCUCAUCUAGUACACCUUUUUGUUGAAGAACUAAGGUGGGGAAAUUUGGAGGUUUGGUGUUUGAGAAAAUCACAUAAUUAAUGAAUAGUGUUACAAAAUAUAUUAUGUUUAUAUGGUCAAAUCAAAAUAACUCAUUGAGGAUUAAGAUUCAUCACAAUAAUAAUCAUCAAUAUCUUAUUUUGGAAAUACACACAUGGUAGACAAGAUAAGCAAUCUAAAAGUACAAUUUGUGGAAUUUUUGUUCUCUGCAACAAACCCAAAAACAAAAGUUAAUUCCUCAUUAGUUAUUAUUAUUUCCCAUGCAUUAUCUCUCACACUUCUUUCCUAAGAUUACAAUAUGAUCAUCAUUGCUCAUCUCUUUCAUUUUAUUAUUCAAAAAGUUUCUUUUUAGUUUCAUUAAUAUAAACUCAUUAUUAAUUAAACAUCAUUAAUAAUAUAUAUAUAUGUAUGUAUAAUUCAUAGGGAUCAUAAAAUCCCCCACAAGAAGAAAUGGUUAUGAUUUUGUUUUGUGAGAAUCUAUUGGGAAAAUCUUUCUACUUUGCUAUGGAAAUCUAAUUAUCAUGGUAGACAAUAAAGAAAAAAAAGGAGACAGACAAACUUUCCAAACUUUUUGUGUACAAAAUUCAAGGAAAAAAAAUGGAAAUUUCCUUAAGACUUUUGCAUUUUUUUUCCCCCUAGAAAUAUCUUAAUGCUAAUAAUAUUCUCUCCAAUGAACGAUUUUUUAAAUUAACUAAUUAUAUCUAAAAUGUUUAAUGUAAAUUUAGAAAAAGAAGGGUGAUGAAGUAUAAAAAAAAUAAUUUUAUAAUUUUAAAUGUGGUAGUCGUUAUUGUUUUAGUACAAAAUUAGUAUGCUAACGACUUACCACAACAAUUCAAUCAACCGUUAUAUUGCAAGUUUUAAGUGAUUGAUUUUAUUUUUUUUAAGUUGAGAAAGAUUAUAACUUUCUUAAAGGUUGAAAAAGGGUAUUUUAUAAUUUAAGCCAAAAGAAAGAAAGAAAAAAAGAAGCAAAUAAUUGAUAUUAAGAGAAAAAAAAAAGGAUAAUGAAAAAGAGGAAAUUAGUUUACAGUUUGUUGAUGGUCUGAAAGUUGGUGGUUCGAUACACAGGCAAUUCAUUCGAUGAAUAACAAUCAAAACGAUCACAAAUCCUUAGUUCAAAAAGAUCAGAACUUGAAUCACUCUCAUCUCCUUCAUCUUGAUCGUUCAUUUUUCUCAUCUCUGAUUUUUGAUUAUUAAUCCCAUUUUUCUUCGAGUAGUAAUUAAUACCUUCUCUUUUCUGAUCCAAAAAGCUUCUAAUUUCCAUAUAAUUUUUAUUCGGAGUUUGAACAGUGCAGCAAUUAGGAGCCGGUGGAGUCCUAAAUCCCGAAAUUUUUGAAGAACUAUGAGACGAUGACUUUGUAUCAAUCAACGUACUUAAGCUGCUUCUUCUCUUUCUUGCACCCAUUUCGUGAUGAAGAUCUUCGGUUUUGAUGGAAUUUUUUGGUUUCUUUUUCUUUUUCGAAGCAGAUUGAUUGAACAGAGAAUUCAGGAAAUUGGCAAGGCGGCCGCCGGGGGAGCUGGGUUGUUGCCUGUGUUUUUUUGGGUCUUUAACCGAUUGUUUCUCCGCUGUGUACGGUGGUGUUGGAAGAGGAAUGACAUUGGUUCUUAGUGGUAAAUCGAGGCUCAUUCUUCCGCCUCUACGGCCGCCGUGAAAUAAGGAAGUUUCGUAAGUGGCAGCGGUGGUGUAACUGGGUUCGUUGCUGCCGGCGAAGUAGCGUGCGGCUUCGAAGACAUCGAGUUCGCCGGAAUCUUUGCGGCGGUGGAGAGAUUUGCGGAAUAUUUUGUCUGGGUGGCCGGAGAGGUGACUGGUGACGGACAUGGUGUAGUCGGAGAGGGAAAUUGGGCGGAGAGGUUUGAUAGGAAAGAAUUUUGUGGGAGAGGUGGGAGUGGGGAGUGGCAAAUAUAUAUGGAAAGAAAAUGAGACUUUUCUUUUUAAUAAAUAAAUAAAGGAUUAUUUUUUGAAUUUAAACUCAAAUUCAUUUUUGAAUUUAGAGAGAAUGGAAAGAAGAAAAAAAAAAAAAAACUCUAAAUUUAGAAGUGAGUUUUUUUACCCACAAAUUUAGAAUUUAUGAUAUUAAAUAAUGGAAGUGUGUCUUUUUUGAAGAGACCCACUUGAUAAUAAUAUUGAUUUGGCAUUAGAGAAAAGAGUGGGCACCAACAAAAACAAACCUUUUCUUUCUUUUCUCUCUUUUCUUAAUAACUCUAUCUAAAAGGUAAAUUAAAAUGCCAGGUUGGGAUUUGAUUAAUUACUAAUCAAGCUUUAAAUUAAAACCCAAUAUGAUGUUUCAUUUUAUAUUCUCUCUUAAGAAUGUUUUGUCAAUUUCACUAACCCAUUAUCAUGCAUGAUUAUGAAGAGAAGAAAUUAAUUCAUUAAUUAAUUAACGUAAACAACACUUUAUAAUUAAUCUUUUUCUUUCUAAUGUGUAUAUAUAUAUAUAUAUGCUUUGAAUCACUGUCCUUUGGAGAAAGAAAGAAUAAUUGUUUAACAAAGGCCCAUUAACACACCUAGAUGCCUCCUUUUUUUUGUUUUUGAAAUGGAUGGUAAGACAUCACCAUCUUGAUCUUAGGAGCAUCUUCAUAAAAAGAGAAAGAAAGAAAAGAAAGUUCAAACCCCAUAUAUAUUGAAAGUUUUUCUUAAAUGUUAGAUAAAAAUAUCGAUAAAAAAAUUAUGUUAAUAGAUAUAUGUUUAACAACUUUUUCUAGUUCAUCUCUUAUUAUUGACAAAAUAUGUGGAGAUAUCAAGUGAGACAUAUAUGUUAAUUACAUUGAUAAAAAUUUAGUGUAUAUAUAUAUGUAUAUCAUACUUUCAACGUGUAAAAAAGUAAGCAUUGAUGUACAAAGACUACUCAAAACUUUGAAAGGAAAAAAUAGAUUUUCAAGAAAGGGAGUUGACAAGAACAAAUGAAAAGGUCAUUAACCAACGACGAGUUAGGGAAAACGAAUCCAUAGAUAAAAAGAAAAAUGAUUGAGAAAAUUUGGUCCACACCAAAAACAAGAAAAAGGUUGAGUUAAAAUGGUUUGGACCAAUAGCCAAGUUGAGAUCUUCGAAUUUGAAGUGUUUGAAAGAGGAGUUUUUGAAGUUUCACCAUCAAAUGAAAGCUACUGUUCAUACAUAUCAUACAAAAAAAGUAAUAAAUUUAGAUCAAUUGGUGAUUAAAGAUAAUAUACUAAAGACGAAGAGUUCGUACUUUUAUACGUCUAAAAUAUUUUUUUUCUUUCAUUAAUAUUGAUUUUUGCAAAUUCUAAAACAAUCGACAAUUUAAAUUAUUGUAUGAAUAAAAUAUACAAUAAUUAUAAAUGGUGUGAAAGUUGGAGACGGUACAUUUUAUAUAUAUAUAUAUAUAUAAUUCAAAAUAUACAAACACAAAUAUAUAAUAAUGUUUGGAUAGCAACUAACAUUAGGUUGGAUGUGAAAGCUUUUGAUAGAAAAUGCUAAAAAGUGAUUUUCAAAUCAAAAUAAUGUUUUUGAUCCAUUUUAAAUAUAAUUGAUUUUAUAUUCACUUUUAAUUUUAAUUUAUUAUUGAAUUAAUAAAAAGUAUUUAUACCUAAAGAUUUUGAAUUAUUCUAAUUUAUUUGCUAAUUUUAAUUAUGUGGGUGUGUAUAUAAAUAUGUUGUCAUAAAGUCUUAUUCAUUUUAUUAUUUCUAAAAUUUUCAAACUUUACCUCAAAAGAAAUUCAAAACAUUUCAAUUUUAUAUAUUAAUGUAUCUAUUAGAAUUAUUGAAAUUGAAUAUAUAUAUAUAUAUAUAUGAGAGGAACAUAUUGCUAUAAAAUGUCAACCCAUGAAAAACAAUAUUUUCCUUAUAUCUAUGUGUAUAUAUAUAUAUAUAAAGCUUUCUUUAUCUCACUUUUAACAUAAUAAAGUUUAAUUAAUUUUGUUCUUAUUCCUAAUACUUAAUAGUCUACUUAGGUUUUAGAUAUAAGAGCAUAUGUACAUAUUAAACCAAUAAUAUAUGUUACUUAUAUUUACCUAAUACAAUAAUUUAAUUGAUUUAAUUAAUUUUGAUAUAUUCUAUAAAAAAAAGAAUUCCUCAACUAAUAUUUCCUUAAAUAUUGUGAUGAAAACAAAUUAAAUAAAACAAGCACAAAGUUUUAAUCUCAUGAUUGAGAUUAGGAACAUUGUCUCACAUCGAACGAUCUAGUCCGUAAUUAAUAUAUUACAACUUAUCAAUCAAAUAGAACAAACACAAACAUAUCAAAUUUGAACUAUAUGGUUUCCAUUAUCAUAAUUAUCUUGUAAAUCCAUCAUACUAACUUUUGAAUCUUAUCAAACAUAAUCUUGCUCAAAUGUCUAAGUUAGAAUGACAUUUAUGUCUCUUCAUUAUUUCUCUAUAUUAAAGUUUUCAAUUAGUUAGUUAUUUACAUUUUGUCCUUACACCAAGUUGAUUGUUGUUCUAUUAUUAUAUAUAUAUUCAUAUUAUAAACAUUGGUAAGUGUGUUGUUCAAGACAAUGUCUAAAGUUUACAAACGAGCCAAAAUCCAUAAGGUGUUAAGAAGAGGCAUAGGAGAGUGUGCUUCUCGAAAAGAAAUGUUAAUGAUGACUUAGGGUUAACCAACCUAGCUAGUAAAAUAUAUAUAUAUAUAUAUAUAUAUCAAUCUAGAAAUAAUUAAGUUAUGUUUGAACCCAUGUAACCAAAGAUAUAUGUGUGUCGGAGAACUCUCAUUUAACUAUUCCAAAAGUGCUUAAUUGAACCUAAUACACUUUGUAUACUAAUUUUAGGCUUUAAUUGAAAAACCGCGACUUCAAUCGACCAUCGUACGAACCAAACAAAUAGGAUUUGAAACAGUGAUUUUGCUAUGCACAUAGGCAGUGACAGUUCAAUUUACAAGGUCACUAUCUACCUUCUCCCAAAUAUGAUUUGUAGCAAUCGAUAUUGGGUCCAUUCAAAAUUUAUAAUUUCUUAAUAAUAAUCCAACCACUUCUUGAACACGACAUAUUGUUUGUUUCCUAAAUUCAUAAUCGAUUAUUGGGGAAGUGUUUUUCUUUUCACACAUAUAUAUAACUGGCAAUUGGCCCUCUUACUUACCAAAAUAUAUAAAUAUCAUUUGACACUUAUUAUAAAUUAAUACAUUUAAACUUUCAAGUUAGAUUUUUUUCAAAAAAAAAAAACUUCAUAAAUAAUUUAGAGUGAUUUUCUGUUUUUUUGAAAAGUUAUUGUAUAAGUUCAUCUAACAUUUGUCAUACAAAAUCUAAAAGACAAUGUAAAUUGAUACACAUACCAAAGUUAACCGUUAAGUAUCCAUUGAUGAAUUUAUUUUUAACUCUCUAACUAGGAAAGUAUGCUAACUUGGCACUAAACCCCUUUCUCCUUUUCACAUUGUCUUUUACUCUUUUAUGGAUAUUCACUAUCAAGUGUAGUACUGUCAAAUAUUUACUUUACUGCUAUCUUCUUUAAUCAAACUAUUAUAUGAAAAUUUAUUCAAUUUAUAUACAUACGUAACCGUCUUUUCAAUAUAAACAUCAACCAUGUGAAUGAGAUGGUUACCAAAUUAAAGAUUUGAGUGUGAGAUUUGGAUGGAAAAGAAGAUAUGAUGAAAGGUGUAGUUGUGAUUGAGUCCAAGUAGAUGGCAGCCACCCACAAAUAAUAAGUGGUCCUUUAGAGGGGCGGGGUGUGACAAAAUUCAACAAGUUUUUAAAGAUGGGAUGAAAGGAUAAAUAGAGGCUUUUGUCCCCCCUCACCUUCAUAUAUCCAAUCUUUUCCCAAAGCCAAAAACUCCUUAUAAUGAUAUAAAAGAUUAAAAAAAAAUCUUGGACAGAUUCAUGUCAUAUGCUGCCUUUGAUGAUAUGUUUUGUGGCUUUCUUUUUUUCUCCACCAUGCAUUCUUAAAGUCACCUUCCAUGGCCAUAAUUUUCCCAUAAGUCCCAUCUCUUUCAAACUCCUCCCCUAUGAAUUUGUUUUGUGGCAACAUUUCUACACAUCAAUAGGUAUGUCUAAAUUACUCUCUUUGUUUCACAGUAAUGUAAGAUAAUGUCUUUACCAAAGACAUUUUGAGAGUUCUUUGUGUGUUCUCCUAAACAUGCAUUUUUUUUUUUAGAUUUCCAUGUCAAAGUCAUUCCAUAUAUAUAUAUAUCACUCUAAGAUUCCACUUAUAAAAAAACAAACAAAUCCGAAUUUAAGAUCAACCUAAUUCAUUUAAGAGAAUAUUAUCAGCUCCUCCUUCCCUAAAUUAAACCACAGUAUUCCUUUCUUAUUCUAAUCAUUUUGAAAGUUGGAAGUUUUUUUCUAACUCACAUACUAAAAUAGAUAAUUAUUCUACUUAGUGAAAGGUUUUUCUUUCUUUCUUUCUUUUUUUGAAUUUGAUUGCAUUUGAGGGAAGUCUAGUAGACCCAGUUUGUUUGUGUGUUAUAAGGAGACAGUGGGUAGGACUUGAACAAAAAAUGGUCUCCCAAAUUCAAGGUCUUAGUGCCCUACAAAAGUCCUUUACAUUCACAGAUAAGGAACAUAUCAAUCAACCAAAAAACUCUUCUCCAAUCAGGGUUAUGCAUCUUGAUGAUAUAUAUGAAUGUGAUCAAAUGGAAGAGCCUUUUAGAUAUGUGGAUAUCAGAUUUCCAAGCCAAUAUCAUAUACAACAACCCCAAAAGAAAGAUAUACGUGAAGUUAAUUGUAACAUAAGGAAGGUUAUGGGCUUUCAAGACAAGGUGGAUUAUCUCUUGAUACAAUAUUUGCUUAAAGUUUAUGAUUUAACAUGAUAUCAAGCUAAGAGAUCUUAGAUUAUUUUGAAUUCGGUUUUGUAAUCUUCACCUCAACCUACUCUCAAGCCUUUUCACAUGUAAUACUAUAUUUAUUAUGAUUUGCAUAAAUUUAAAAUUUUGAAUUGGUGGGUCAUUUAAUUAACAUGUUUUUCAAGGAUUUGAAUUACCCCACAUGGAAAGAAUAAUCAAGGAUUUUAUGUGUGCAUGUGAAAGAAACAUAAACGUGUUCCAAUUUGAUUCACAUAUGGUGCUCAAAUACCCAAAGAAAAGAAAAAAGAUGGUCACUUGAUUGAAAAAAUUUAAUAAACAAAAAAGGAGACAACAACUUUCUUGAUGGGGUUAAUGUCAAAUAUAUAUAUAUAUAUAUAUAAUGUGAUGAUGAUAUAUUACAUACACACUCUAAUAUAUAAUAAUGAAGCAAAAUAGAUCGAUGCAUGUGAGUUUUGGUGAUGAGUUGUAAAUUUUAUCUCUUUGGUUUUAUUGGGUUGAUGCCCUUUCAUGUCUUGUUGGUUCAUUUUUAGGUAUAUUAAACAAACAUUCAUUGUCAUUGUUAGAUGACAAAUUUUCAUAUCAAUAACGAUAAAUUUGUAAUGUAUAAAAAGAGAAGAUCAUCUAUAAAGUAAUGAAAAUAGAAGACGUACCUACUGUAGUGCUUUUCAUGUAAAUUCUAAUACUUAAAUUAUUUUAGGAAGAUAAAAAGACAAAUAAUUAAUUUAGUUGAAAUGUAGUUUGUAGGUCCUUAUUAGUUGGAGUUAAACCCUUAGGAUUUCUUCGUCAUCUUAGUCUUAGAACUUGAAAAAGACAACGCUUAAUCUUUGACUCAAUCAAAAGUCGUUUCACCAACAACGCUAUGGAAGGAUGAAGUCCUCACCAUGAUUGAGAGUGAGCCUAUUGGAUCUACCCAACCUCUUUCACUAUCGGACUUACAUUCUACCAUUUGGAGUUUGUUGCUUGAACUAUUUUCUUUAAAAUAUUAAAAAGUAGUUCCCAACAAUCAAACCAAGAGUUAGUGUGCAUUCCGAAGUUAUUUAGACCAAGAGACCAUUACGUAUUUGGGCCUAGCAUCGACCCGGUUCGAAAGUGUGCAUUCCAAGUUAUUUGGCCCAAGAGACCAUUACGUAUUUGGGCCUAGCAUCGGCCCGGUUCGAAAAUAAAUCCAAUAAUAAUAAGACUAAAAAUGGCCCAUGCAGGUCUCGAACCUGCGACCUUCGCGUUAUUAGCACGACGCUCUAACCAACUGAGCUAAUAGGCCAUUUGUUGAUAUGAUGUUUAAUUCUUUAAAGAGAUCUUUUGCAAAUAUAUAAUAGAAUUAGAUUUUGAAAUUGUCGAGAGAUAUAUUUUAGGUUAAACUCUAAAUUAGUCUAUAAAAACUUUGAUGAUGGUGUGAAAUAAUUCCAUGAAAUUACAAUUUUGCAUUUAAUACGUUGAAUUUUCUAUUCAUAUGAAUUUAAAAAAUAUAAAAUGAGUCAAAUAUUUAAUCGAAACAUUCCAUUUAACCAAACGUAGGAGUUUAAGGACUAAACGUAUAAUUUAUUUGUAACGGAUGAAUGGGAGAGUUUGGGGCAUAACAUAUAAAAAUCCUAUGUUUAAGAAUUCUUCUUCCAUUUCCAUUGUAUGAAUAUUUCCAUGAUUGCAACCUCUCUGUAUUUCUCAGAAUAAUCAAUAAUGCAAAAGCUCAAUCAUUCAUUUUGUCUCAUAACAUAAUAUUUAAUCCAUCUCUUAUCAAAUUUUAUUAUCAACCAAAGUUUGAUGAAUAUUCCAUUCUUUUCCUUUUCUGCCUUUUCUUUUUCUUUUUCUUAUGGUUGUUGUGGAAAAUCUUGAGAUUAAAUUUCUUCUUUUAUCAUUAUUUACCUUUAUACUCUCAAUCCUAAUACACCAAAUAACCCACAAUUACUAACAAACGAAUAAGAAGGCUUAAACAUGAAUAUAAAUGAAGUUAGAAGACAGUUUUACCAUUACGCUAGCUAAUGAUAUUGAUAUCAUAUGUAUAGAUACAUCUUAUUCGAGCUCCUUGAUUUAUACUAAAUAUGUCAAUAAUGCUUACGACUCCACUCAUAUUACUUCUCUUCUUUAUAGGGAUCACAUGAAAUUGCCUUUCAUUUUUAGGGUACAUAGUCAAAAACAUAAGUUGAAAAAGAAAAAAAAAAUCCCCCUUUUGACAAAGUGAACUCUACUUUUUGUAAAGGUAAACAUCCUAAGCUUUAAAAAAAAUAUCCCACUUAUUCAACUAAUAAUAAAUACUCAUAUUUUUGUAACUAUAUAAAAAAGAGUUAAAAUGUAGAAAGAAUAUGAAAUAUGGAAAAAGCACUCUAAAUUUCGAAUAACAAAGAUUAACAUCUACAUAUCGUUACUCCAUUCCAUUUGAAAAUGAACCUUCUAUAAUAGUUUUGAAAUGAUUAAGAAAUGGAAUUUUCUUUUUUAACAAAAGAAGAAGAGUCCUACGAAGAAAAAGGUGAUGAGUAAUGGCAGUGAAUAAGCUGAAAUUUGGUUAAUUUAUAGAUUGGGUGACACCUAAAGUACUCAUAAUAAUUAUCCAACUUUUUCUUUUAUUGGCAAUUAAGCUUUUAAUCAAAUCCAACUUAAUUACUCUUUCAACCAUCACUACUCAUCACUUUGCUUUUCAAUUACGCUAAAGGAAAAAAAAAGUUAUUAACCUUCCAUAAAGAAAAAGGAUGUAGGAAUCAACUUCUCAAUUAAAAAAUAUAUACAUAUAUUUAACCCCUCGUUUCUUCCUAACGUUGAUGUGUAAAAAUAUUUGAAGAUGAAACUACAAGAAAUGAUUGGACCCUAAUAUUAUCUAUACUAACGUAACAAUACUUUAGUCCAUAAAGUCAUAACUUCAAGUAUUUGUUGAAAGAAACAAUAAAAAAAUUUUACAAAAGCAACUUAGGUACGUACUAUACUAAGUUUAGGUUGAACAGGAUUGAGUCCUAAUAUUUGAUGAGAAACGAACAAAAGCCUUGACUGGGAGAAUGUGUAAAGAAUAAUGGAGAAUCAUAAAAGAGAAGAGAGAUGUAAAAUGAUAUGAGAAGUGAAGAGAAACAGGCUGGCUAAUGGCUAUGGCGAAGAAGAUACAAUGGGCCUACAAUGUUUCAUGACUAGCACGUUUGGUAAUAAGCCCCACAACAUAAAAGAAUAAAUUUAAAUCUAGAAAUCAUUACAAAGCAAAUAAAAUUUUAAAAAAAGAAACUAAAACUAUGUGAUUCACAAUCACAAUGUCUCUUUACCGACACCAAACCAAAAAAAUAAUCUAACAUUCUUCUUCUUCUUCUUCUCUUUCUCAUACUGAUUUCUUGUUUUGAAGCAAACCCCAUCUCCAGAAAUGGGUAAAACCGGAGCAAAAUUGCCAAGUUUCUGCCUGAACCGGAUACGGCCUCAUGUUAGAGUCCCUAUUCAAUCCAAACCGGACUUUGUUUCGGUGAAAACCGGUCCGAGCAAGAAGAUUGAUGAUUGUUUAGAUGAGAAGAAUGAUCAUGUUGGAGUUGAUCAAAGUAAUAAGGCAGUGAUGGGAAUUGGAAGGAAGAUCAUGAUUGUUGUUGAUUCCACCAUUGAAGCUGAAGGAGCUCUUCAUUGGGCUCUCUCUCAUACUGUCCAAAUUCAAGACAACAUUCUUCUUCUCCAUGUCACUAAACCUUCAUCUAAAGGUCCAAAUUCACCCACAUUUUCUCUCUUUUCUUUCUUUCUUUUUUUUCUUUCUUUCACAUCUUUGUUUAAAUUUUUGUUUGAAAUGUGGUGAAUUUGUUGUCUACUCUUCAGAAACGACCUAAAUUUGUUGUCAAUUAUAAACCACCUAGUGUCGAUUCUGUUUCUUGUUUACUUUAUAGGGGAAGGACCCAAUAAGGAGACAGCACCAAGAGCAUAUGAAUUGGUUCAUUCAAUGAGAACUUUAUGCCAAUUGAAGAGACCUGAGGUAAUAUUUUGAUUCCAAGGUGGGAACCAAAGGUAGAAAUUUGGGUCAGCUUUUGAAAAUUUUUGUGUUUCUGUUAGGUGGAAACGGAAGUUGUGGUAGUGGAAGGAGGGAAGGAGAAGGGGGCAGUGAUAGUGGAAGAAGCGAGGAAGAGAGAGGCGUCGUUGUUGGUAUUGGGGCAGAAGAAAAGGUCGACGACAUGGCGGCUUUUGAUGGUGUGGGCAGGGCAGCGGUGGGGCGGUGGUGGUGGGAGCAGUGGGGGCGUGGUGGAGUAUUGUAUACAGAAUGCGAGUUGUAUGGCAAUUGCAGUGAGAAGGAAGAGCAAGAAAUUGGGAGGUUAUUUGAUCACUACAAAGCGACAAAAGGAUUUCUGGCUUUUGGCUUAAAACUAAAUUUACAAAUUGAAUUGUGGCUUUGAUUGAAUGUCAAAUCUCUCUGUUUUCAGAGAUGGGGAUGAUGUAAAUAAUGUAAUUGAAAAAUGGAGAGAAUUGUGAAUUGUGAUUUAGAUGGGGAAACUUGACUAUCAACCCUUUGGGUCUAAUUUAUAUUUGUUUGUUUUUGGUGUGGGUUUUUUUUUUCUUCAAUUUAAUUAUUAUUUUCUAAUGGUUGAAUGGACUUGAUAUUAAUUAUAUCCAAUGAUAUUAAGUUGUCAAAAUAAGAAUAGCAAACAAGGACGAAUGUUCAAUUAGUUAACCCACUAGGGGUAUGUAGAGUGCCAAUCAUACAAUAUUAGACAAUUUUUGCUAUUUUAUAUUUGAUCUUACACAAAGACAUAUAGCUAAACAAUCAUUGAACGAUCAUUUGAUAUAUAACUAAACAAUCAUUUAAUAAAAACUAAAUGUUCAUUCAAACUAUGUUACACAAACGUUUAGUCUAGGUUACACCAACAUUUAGCAGCAUGUAUUAAAACAUAAGUCUUUGUUGAGAGAAAUCUAGAGUAUAUGCUUGUUCAUGACUCAUGAUAAUAGAAAAAUGGACGUCCACUGCCAGAACCAUAUAGAAAAUGCCUUUUGGCCGAGUGAGAGAGUGUAAUCUAAGUCGGAUUUAAGAGAGGAAGGAACAAGAAAACGAACGAACAAUCAUAUUAUAAAGGAGGGAGAAUUAUGUUGCUUUACAUGACAGAAAAACUUACCAACUUGCAUGAAGCUCCCAUUUCAUUCCAUACUUUGAAACUCAAUCCCCAUAAGAACUCACCCACACAGUGUCCUCAUCAUCACACAACAUUCAUAAAGGCAGAAAAUCAACAACAACGAAAACAAACCCCCACAUAAUUACCAAAACUAAUUAAUUUAUUAUUAUAUUAUCAGGAGCUUUAGUUUAUUAUAGAGAUCUCAUUUCUUCCGCAGGUCUCUGAAAUACUUGGAAGGAUCCUUCUCAAACUCAUCUCUGUACAUUUCCUCCCCAUGUUUUCCCGGAGCCUUCAUCGUUCUCCUGUCACCGGCAGUUUCAGAGUCCGCCGAGAACAUGCUCGCCACACACCCAAUGAAAGUCGCAAACCCCACCACUGCCCCCACGAUCUUCGCCGCCUUCGACCCUCCGUUAUCCGGCUCUCCGCUCAUUUCAAUCGCUCUCUGUUUCAAUCUCUCUGUCUGAUGUGUUUUGAGGGUAAAACAGAGAGAUGGGUUUAAAUAGAUGGGUGAUCGUCCUUGCCUCUGGGGUUCUCGAGACACGUUUCAAGAUAUCAGUGGUGAUUGACUUGGGAGUCAAGAAGCAUUUUGUGAGAGAAUCAGAAAAGGAAAAAGAAAAAGGUGGAUUUACAGAAAUAGGCAAUUGCAUGGAAAAGCCUAACACAAGUUUGAUCAUCGAGAAAUGUGACGUCCUAUAUUCAUAUAAGUUUAUUAAUGACCAAGAAUUGACUAUAAUUAAAUUCAAAUCAACUUAUCCUUUAGUGAAUUUAUUUAUGUAUUUACUUAAAGUGAAUACUUUUUUGUGAAAAUAAAGAAAAUGAUGAAGUGGUAGUGAAGGAUGGCAUAGUCCCCAAGAGGGGAACUCUCUUUUUCUUCCUUAAUUGAAUUGGAAAUUGAUAUUAGAUUUUGUCAUUUCCAAAAUUUCCAUACCAAUUUUCUUUAUCUUUUUAAUUCUAAACAUUAUUCCUUAUAUUAAUUGUAAUUUAAUUUCUAAAUUUAUUAUCAAAAUACAUCUCUAAACCACAAAAAAAUGCAUAAUUUAUUUUCUUAAAUGUGUUUUAGGAGUUUUUUCAUGUACUUUUAAUCCAUCUUAAAUUAAUUUAAUCAUAUUAUUUAAAUUGAUUAAUCGUAGAAAAAAACUAUUUGCAAUUUGAGAGACCAAAUUAUUUUCUAUAUGAGUUACUCAACGUUCUUACGAUUUACUUCAAGAUUUCAAUUUAUAACUAUAAUUGAAAAAUACGAAACUCGAAGAGGGGACGCGAAAUAGUUCCUCAUCAUUGUAUCACUUAAAAAUUAACAUAAUGUUAAUGAGGAAAAUCAAAGUAAGCUAUCAAAUCAAAGGAGGAUUUAACCCAAAUAUAUAUAUAUAUAUGUCAUUUGAAAGAAUUAAGUUGUAAUGGUAAUAUACAAUUCCCAAAAAUCUCAAAAAAUUAUGCAAAAGAAAACGAACCAUUUUUUUUAUGUUCUCUAUAUAGCUUUAAUUGAAAAUUAAAACAAGUUUCCAUUUCCCAAUAAUCCUACCAUCUCUAUGUAUACAGUACAAUCCUCCAUUCUCCUGAUCAUCAAACUAAACCCUAAUCUUCACAUAUCUAUCCACAAAUCUUGUUAAUUAAUUGACAGAAGACGUAGCAAGGAAUGGAUAAUAAUCCUACCAUCUCUAUAUAUACAGUACAAUCCUCCAUUCUCCUGAUCAUCAAACUAAACCCUAAUCUUACAUAUCUAUCCACAAAUCUUGUUAAUUAAUUGACAGAAGAGGUAGCAAGGAAUGGAUAAUAAUAUCGUGACAGCAAUAAUUGGAGGAGUGAUGGGAGUUGCUUCACUCGUCGUGAUGGUGACUUCUUUAAUGUCUGGAAAUCCGAAGAUGAUGAAAGCUCCCGGACAAGAUGGGUACAUCCCCAGGGCUGCUUUUGAGAAGAACCCUGCUGCUUAUUUUGCAAACCUUCGUAGGCCUACUUAAUCAUCAUUAUUAAUUAUUCUAAUUAUAUAUGUAAUGCAUUGUUCCUAUAAUCUUCUUAUCUCUCUACUUUUAAUCCUAUCUUAUUAUUAAUAUAAAAUGUUUAAUCUUAUGAGCAUCCACAUCUUCUCAACUGAACCUUUACUAAACCCUAAUUUUUAUGGGUUAAUUUGGAUGUAACGAAGAUAAUGUUGAUGUCUAUAGAAAGGAAAAUGUAUAUAUAAACAUGAAAUUUAAUACCUAUGACAAUGAUCAAUUCCAACCUUUUCUUUUUUAGUGUUAUGUCUAUAUGACCUUUUCCUAUAAGAUAAAUGAGACUGUCCAAAAUUGUAUAAAACCUAAAUUUGUAAACUGCAUCAAGCUAAUUUUAUGGGUUAAUUUGGAAUUUUAUAGCAUUGAAAGUUAUUUAAUUUGUCUUUUUUCUCAAUUUUGUUGGGUUAUAUUUGUUUCUUGUUUUAUAUAGUUUGGGUAUUAGAGGUGAUAUUUCCAAGACUAAUAAAAUUACAAAAGAUUAUGUAACCAAUUCAAUUUACAUUUAAUCAAAAUUGGCAAGACUUCUUAUUAAGGAAUUUCCUCAUAGGUUUUCUUAAAUUGAAAAUUUAACCAAUUUAUAUUUAGAAAUAUUGUUAAAAAUACAAAAUAUUUACGAGCUAUUAUAGAUAACAACCAUUUGAUAGUCUGGAUAGGAUUUUAAAAAUGUUUUUUUAAAUUUAAUUAAGAAAAUCAUAAAAAUUAAAAUGUCAAAAACUACCUUUAAGAAAAAAAUAUAUAUAUACAAUGCCUAAAGUACAAAGAGUAGAGUAGAUUAAUAAGCAAAGUCUUUGAUGACUUAAGUGAUGAGGUAAGCUUUUUGCAUUUUUGAUUUAAUGAAAUCAUAAUGAUGUUAUCAAAUGCCAUUUAAUAAGUGAUUUCUUUAUAUAUGAAGAUUCCAAUGAGGCAUUUCUAAAUUAUUCUCACUGUUAGUACUAUAUAUAAAUCCCCAAGGUAAAUAUUGAGAAUUAAACUGAAAGAACAAAGAGAGGCAAUAGUAAUAAUAAUGAGGAUAAUGGAUGUUCUAAGCAAAUACAUUAUAAUUCCAAGUCUUGUAGUUGGGUGUGUCAUUUUGAUGAGCAAUAUCAUGAAGUUGGUGAGCAAGUUUUGGUGGACUCCCAUGAGGAUUCAAAGGAUAAUGAGGUCCCAAGGGAUUAAUGGCCCUUCUUACAAAUUCAUACAAGGCAACAUGAGAGAUAUGUACACCAAAAGAAUGCAAGCCAUGGCUACUCCUAUGGAGCUCUCUCACAAUAUACUCCCUAGAGUUAUUCCUCAUGUUCAUUCCUGGCUCAAUGAUUACGGUAUAUGUGUCAAAAUCUCUCUAGCUAUUAUGCUUUUAAUCAAGUUUUUUCAUAAUGAAAAGUGGGUUUUGUGGAAAUUAAACAGGGAGGAGCUUCUUGCAGUGGUAUGGGAUUGAAGCACAAUUAAUCAUUACAGACCCAGAAAUGAUCAAGGAAGUGUUGAACGAUAAACAAAAGAAUUACCCAAAAGCAAAACUUGGAAGGGAUUUACUUAGAAUUUUUGGAGAUGGACUUGUCACUUCUGAGGGUCAAAGAUGGGCAAAGUCUAGAAAAAUUGCCAAUUUUGCUUUCCAUGGAGACAGUCUCAAAGUAAUUAAUUAACUAAUCAGUAAUAUGUAAUUCAUAUCAUGUUAAUAAUUAAUAAUUUUUCUUUUUCUUCUGUUUUUCAAAUUAAUUAAGAACAUGAUUCCAACCAUGAUUGAGUGUGGUGAGAAGAUGAUUGAAGGGUGGAAGAAUCAUGAAGGCAAAGAAUUGGAUGUGUACAAAGAAUUGAAAGUUUACACUUUGGAUGUUAUUUCUCGUACUGCUUUUGGGAGUAGCUACCAGCAAGGAUUGAAUAUUUUUCACAUGUUACAACAGCUUACUGAUUUGUCUAUCAGAAAUGGAUACAAAAUUAAGCUUCCUAUAAUCAGGUAUUCAUAAUAACCCCCCAACUCCAAACGAGUCAUCGAAAUCAUGAUGAUAUCAAAAUGUUUGUAAGAACUGUAACGAUCACUAGUUCUUUUUUUGUGAAACGGUGUGGUUGUUUUGCAGUAAGAUAUUGAGAUCGAAAGACGACGUAGAAGGAGAGCGACUGGAGAAGAGAAUGAAAGAAUGUUUCACUGAGAUAAUAAGAGGAAGAGAAGAUAGAUCAAAGAAUGGAGGAGGGGAAGGGUAUGGGAAUGAUUUUCUAGGAAUGUUAGUGAAGGCAAAAAAUGAAGGUGAAAAAUCAGAGAGGAUAACAAUGGAUGUGAUAGUGGCAGAAUGCAAAACGUUUUACUUUGCUGGACAUGAAACAACAAAUGUUUUGAUAGCUUGGAUUAUGUUUCUUCUUGCCCUUCAUAAACAAUGGCAAGAACAAGCUAGAGAUGAAGUGUUUAGGAUUUUUGGACACAGCAGCAAUCCAACGUAUGAAGCCCUUUCUAAAUUAAAAAUAGUAAGAUUUUGACAUAUCAUUCUUUAAUUUUAACAUCAAUACUUAAUUACCAUUUGUUAAUAUAACCUUUCUUAUACAGAUGACAAUGAUCAUCAACGAAACUUUGAGGUUGUAUCCCCCGGCAAUGACCGUAUCACGCCAAGUGGUGGAGAAGGAAGUAAAGUUGGGGAGCCUCGUUCUUCCGACGUCUCUGCAGCUGAUGAUACCAACCAUCGCAGUCCAUCACGACAAAGAAUUUUGGGGGGAAGAUGUACAUGAGUUCAAACCAGAAAGAUUUGCAGAAGGGGUCUCCAAAACGAUCGAAGGAAACUCAGCUGGGUAUCUUCCAUUUGGGUUAGGUCCUCGAAAUUGUGUGGGGAUGAACUUUGCCAUCAAUGAGGCCAAAAUUGCUAUGUCAAUGAUUCUACAAAAGUACUCAUUUACCCUCUCCCCUGCCUACGCUCACACGCCCGUCCAGUUUCUCACUACUUGCCCCCAACAGGGACUUCAAGUCAUUCUUCGUUCGAUAUCAAAUUAGAAUAAAGAAAAAAACAAAAACGUAAAUUUGUUUGAUGUAAGAAUAGAUUGUUUUAACUUUAACACCGAAAAGGUAUUGUAAGUUAUUGAGCUCUGCAUUAUUGAGCUUUGAAGUAUGAAUGAAGGCAGGCGAAUACGUUGACUUCCUCUGAUUUUUCCCCUUUAUCUUCAUCCUCCCACUCCCUCCCUCCAUCCCUUCGUUCCUGCUAUUUUAACCUCUGGCGCCGUAAUCAUUUUCCUCCGCUCUCUAGUUUAAUUGGGACCAAACCUCAGGUUUGUGUUUUUCUCUUUCAAACUUUUUGUUAAUCAAAAAAGAGAAAAAGUACUUCAGAGUAUCAAACUGAAUCAAAGCAACCUAACUUUCAAUUUUCAAUCUUAAUAAUUACAAAUGGAAGUUUCUCAGAAACCGAUUGUCUUUCAAUUGCAAUAUCAGAUGCCAUCUUGAAGCAAUUAGAAGAAAAAGUGAGAUGUGAUGGAGUGUACGAUCAUCAAUUACAUUUCAAUAUUUCUAUCUGGGUGUCUUCUUUUUGGGGUCUUCAAGCUCUUUGUCAAACUAUGGUGGACUCCCAUGAGGAUUCAGAGGUUCAUGAGGUCACAGGGGAUUCAAGGUCCUUCUUUUAAGUUCAUCCAAGGCAAUACCAGAGAUGUUUACAUCAAAAGAAUGCAGGCCAUGGCUACACCCAUGGACCUUUCCCAUAACAUUCUCCACAGAGUUAUGCCUUGUGUUCACUCUUGGCUCAACCUUUACGGUACAAAAAUCAUCUUGAACUUUCAAUUGUUGUGUUGGGACAGCCUUGAAUCCGUUAUCUGAAACUUUGAAUGUAAAUGACCAACCAAAUGAGAUUUAUGUUAUUUACGACUGUGGAUUCAAGGCUUAGAGAUGUGUCAUAUAUAAACCUUUUAAUCUUACUUGCCAUUUUUGCAGUCUAUAUUAUUUGAUAGUUUAACACACUGAUAGUGAAGUAUGUAAAUCUGUGUUGAUCUUUUCUCACUUUCUUUGCUUGGUUUGUCAAUUUAAUAACAUUUUCCUUUUCGUUAACGACUGAGUCUGGUUUCUAAACUUUUAGAGCUGUGCUUUUAGGAAUAGAUUCUUGAAUUUUAAAUAGUAUUGUAAUAGGUCUCUUAACCAUUGCUUUUGAGUAUAAUAUCUUGCAAACGAAUGGUUAUUACUUAUUAAAUACGAAAUUGAGACUUAGACUUGAUUGUUGUCUAAAUCUAUUAAAAAAUGUUAAAGGGGUCUAUUAAACUCAACUUUGAAAGUUAAUGAAUUAACUUAUAAUUAAACAGCUUCUUUUUCAAUUGGAUGUCUGUUUUUAUCGGUGCGAGUGCUUGGAAUUGUCAAACAGGGAGGAACUAUCUUCAGUGGUCUGGAGUUGAUGCUCAGUUAAUGAUUACAGACCCAGAGAUGAUCAAGGAGGUGCUCCAUGAUCGACAAAAGAGCUUCCCAAAAGCAAAACUCAAAGGCCACAUUCAUAGAAUUUUUGGAAAUGGACUUGCCACAGCAGAGGGUCAAAGAUGGGCCAACUCCAGGAGAAUAGCUAACUUUGCUUUCCAUGGAGACAGUCUCAAAGUAAUUAACUUCAUACUUGAUUUUAGUUUUGUCGAGAUUUGAUUGAACUGUUUGAGAUUAUUGCGAGUGUACUGCAGAACAUGAUCCCAACCAUGAUUGAGUGUGGUGAGAAGAUGAUUGAAGGGUGGAAGAAUUAUGAAGGCAAAGAAUUGGAUGCGUUCAAAGAAUUCAAAGUAUUCACUUUGGAUGUCAUUUCUCAUACUGCUUUUGGGAGUAGUUACCAACAAGGAAAGAAAAUCUUCCACAUGCUACGAGAGCUUUGCGAGCUAUCAAUCAGAAAUGGAUACAAAAUUAGGCUACCUAUAAUCAGGUAAUUUAGCCUUGUUCAAUAGUUGAAAAUUGAACUUAUAAACAUUACUCUCAAGACUUGGAAUUCAAAUGUUUUAGUUCUAUCAAAUGGGGGGCUUACUUUUGUUUGUUGAGUUCCUAAAUUACUUGAUGAAAGUUGAUGUUAUGUUAAUAGAAAUGAAACUAUUUGUUGGAAUAUUUUGAUUUUGUUAUCUGGUACUCCAAAUGAUCAAGAACGGGGUCUCGCUAAUUAUAAAACUACUUUCACUUUGCUCGUGGACAUAGCCAGCAUACUGUUAGUAAAACAUUUUUUGUGUCGUUUUUUUUACUGUUGAUGCUUUUUGCUUGUGUCUUAACUCUAGUUUUGAUUUGUUUGCAGUAAAAUUUUGAAAUCAAAAGAUGAUUAUGAAGGAGAAAGGCUUGGAAAGAGACUUAAAGAUUGCUUCAUGGAAAUCAUAAAAGAGAGAGAAGAGAAGUUGAGGAAUGGUGAAGCAAAUGAUUAUGGGAAUGACUUUCUGGGAUUAUUAAUAAAGGCGAAGAACGACCCUGAAACAUCACAAUGCAUUUCUAUGGAAGACAUUGUUGAUGAAUGCAAAACAUUUUACUUUGCUGGACAUGAGACCACCAAUGUUUUGUUGGCUUGGACUAUGCUUCUUUUGGCUUUGCAUAAAGAAUGGCAAGAAAAAGCAAGAAAUGAAGUGUUGGAUGUAUUUGGACACAACAACCCAACUUUGGAAGGCCUUCCAAAACUAAAAACAGUAAGAAUUAUGACGUAUAGAUGAAUAUGGAAACUAGGAUCUCCUGAUCUAUUAUCAUGUAAAUACUUAUACAAACUGUGUGUUUGCUUUUACUAUGGACAGAUGGCGAUGAUCAUCAAUGAAUGUCUGAGGCUAUAUCCACCGGCAAUGCCAGUAGCACGGCGAGUAGAGAAGGAAGUGAGACUAGGAAACCUGGUGGUUCCUACAGCGACUAUGCUGACAAUUCCUACAGUAGCAGUUCAUCAUGACACAACGUUUUGGGGGGAGGACGCACAUGAAUUCAAACCAGAAAGAUUUUCAGAAGGGGUGGGGAAAGCCACCGAAAACAACUCGGCUGCGUAUAUCCCGUUCGGAUUGGGGCCUCGAAACUGUGUGGGGAUGAACUUUGCAAUGAACGAAGCCAAAAUUGCAAUGUCAAUGAUUCUACAGAGAUACUCCUUCAGGCUAUCGCCGGCCUAUGCACACAUGCCGGCGCAGUUGUUAACCAUUAGCCCCCAGAAUGGAGUUCAAGUGAUACUAAAUUCAAUAGCAGAUUAAAAAGAUUGAAAUGAACACUGUUUGGGUGUUAAUAAGAUACAUGUAUGUAUGGUUGGUACUCUAAAUUUGAACAAAUAUAUGGCAAAACUACAUUAUUAUUAUUAUUAUUAUUAUUACUACGAUUGGUUCGGUCUUUCUCCCUUGCAAUUGUUUGAGCAAAAGAAAUCAAGUAAACGGUCUUUAGUGACAAUAGUUAACAACAAGGAGAACACUAAAUAGAGACGACACACACCAUUGUUAACCCGGUUUGAUGACACAUCAUUCUUGACCUAUGAUCAUAUAUCUUAUUACUUCGAAAAUAUUCAAUCAUAAUCAACAUGUUAUGACUUUAAUUAACCAGAAAGAUAUUAAAUUACAAGCUAUUGAUACAACACGAAACUCUUAACCAGCAGAACUUCGAUCAAGAUAACACAACGUCAUUUUCUUAAGACAACUGCAAAGUAAAGUAAUUGCUUUUCGCACUUUUUUUUUCCUUUUCGACACACUCACAUUAUGAGUAUGAAAUAAACUUAUAUAGAAAAUUCCAACACCCAAUCUUUAAAAGAAAGGAAACAGAAUAAUAUCACAAAUAAAGUAAUAUCCAAAAUCGAAGAAUAUUCAUUUUGAAAAUCAUUCUUUCGUCAUUCUCUUUUUGCCACGACAGAAGAUCUAAGAAAAGAGCUUGACAUGCAGUCCUACAAAUUUUCCAAAGAAAAUUAGAAAAAGUAUUGAACAUGUGUUAAUGCAUAAGUUAGUGAGCCGCAUAGUUUGAAAUUAAACUUGCAAAUUACUCAAAAUAAAAAUGAGAAGAAAUUAUACUUGCACAACAAGCAAAGUAAUCUCACAAAUUUUUAUAGAUUAUUUAUUUUGGUAAUUAUUCUUUUCUAUAGAUUAUAAAUGCAGACCAUGGUGCAAAAAAUGUCAAACAUCCAAACAUUCAAAUAAAAGUUUAAACAUUCAAACAUUCAAAUAAACCUUAAUUGUAGUCAUUUAUUGUUGAUUUUAAAAAACAUAUAAUUUUUGUUUUCCAUUGGCAUUUUUUACUCUUAAGUUUUGAAAACAUAGUCAUUUCUUCAUGUUAUUAUUAUUUAACUAAAUUUGGUAAAAUUUAAUUUCCAACGACUAAAUUAAAAUAAGAUUUAAGUAAUGGAGACCCAAAUUUAAAAAAAAAAAAAAAAACUUAAAAGAUUAAAAAAGAAGAAAUUAAGAAAAAAAAAGUCAACAUAUUACUUUGGAAUUAAGUUAUUCAUAGGAAUGUGAAAUUGAAUUUUCAAUGUUUCUGCUUUGCCAUUGUUGACCACUGCUCGCCACGUGGCAACCACAAAAUAAUUUGCUUAAGAAAAAAUAAACAUUAAAACCCUGUUUUUAAGGAACAUAAACACAAAUGAACUGAAUCACAAAGAGAAUAAAAGAUCAAGGAAGAAACAACUAACGAAGUCCAUCAAUGGAUAUUACUAUGAACUACUACAGUUCAAUAUUGAUAUUUGGGGUUAUCCUUUUUGGAAGUGUCAUCUUCAAGCUUUUAGGAAGGCUAUGGUGGAAUCCUAUGAAGAUUCAACGGUUGAUGAGAGCGCAAGGGGUCCAAGGCCCAUCAUACAAUUUCAUACAUGGCAACACCAAAGAGAUGUACUCAAAAAGAAUCAAGGCUAUGGCUAAACCAAUGCAACUCUCUCACCGUAUACUUCCUAGGGUUCUUCCUCAUAUUCUCUCUUGGCUCAACCAAUAUGGUAUAUAUAUAUAUAUAACACAGCUCGUUUGGAUUAUGAUAUAAACUGCAAUCAGUUACUAAUUGAUUAUUUGGUGGUGUGGAAAAACAGGAAGGAACUAUGUUCAAUGGUUUGGGGCAGAGGCUCAUUUAGUCAUAACAGAGCCAGAGCUGAUCAAGGAAGUGCUCAACAACCAACACAAAAGCUUCCCAAAGGCAAAACUUCAAGGCCACAUUCAUAAAAUUUUUGGAAAUGGACUUGCCACAGCAGAGGGUCAAAAAUGGGUCAACUCUAGAAAACUUGCUCAUUUUGCUUUUCAUGGAGAUAACCUCAAAGUAAAUUUACCCCUGAGUAUAAUUUUGAUAUUUACUCAUCAAUUUUAAAAUAAUUGAAAGAAGAAGAAAAAGCCCUCAUUGUUUUACAAUUUUGCAGAACAUGAUCCCAUCAAUGGUUCAAUGUGCUGAGACAAUGGUUGAAGAAUGGGCACAUCAUGAAGACAAAGAGAUUGAUGUGUUCAAACAUUUUAAGGUUUAUACUUUGGAUGUCAUUUCACAUACUGCUUUUGGAAGUAGUUAUGAACAAGGAAGAAAUGUAUUCCAAAUGCUGCAGAGGCUUUGUGAGUUAUCCAUUACAAAUAGAUAUAAAGUUAGACUUCCUGUGAUCAGGUACUUUUAAGAUUGUCUCUUCGCCUUUUGAUAAUAAUUUUGCUUUUUUUGUUGUUGCAGUAUUUAAUAUUAUGUAGCAUUAAUUCUUUCCCUAAAUGUUUGUGUGUUUUGAGGACGCAGUAAGAUAUUGAAAUCAAAAGAUGAUAUUGAAGGGCAGAGUCUUGAAAAGAAGAUGAAAGAUUGCUUCGUGGAAAUCAUAAAAGCAAGAGAAGAGAAGUUGAAUAAUGAUGAAGCAAAUGAUUAUGGGAAUGACUUUUUAGGAUUGUUAGUGAAGGCCAAAAAUGAUCCUCAAGAUUCACAAAGGAUCAGUUUGGAAGAUGUUGUUGAUGAAUGCAAGACCUUUUACUUUGCUGGGCAUGAGACCACCAAUGUUUUGUUGGCUUGGACUAUGUUUCUUUUGGCUUUGCAUAAAGAAUGGCAAGAAAAAGCUAGAAACGAAGUGUUCGACGUAUUUGGACACAGCAACCCGACUUUUGAAGCCCUUCCAAAACUAAAAACGGUAAUUAUAAAUUAUAAUAACAAAACAUAAGGUAGUGUUUAUAUAAUCUUAAUUGUUCAAAAACUAAAUUGGUUAUCAAACCGAAACAUUGUUACUGUUUGUGCAGAUGGGUAUGAUCAUCCAUGAAAGUCUAAGGCUAUACCCUCCGGCGAUGACAUUAUUAAGAAAAGUUGAGAAGGAGACAAGAUUGGGGAGGCUAGUUCUUCCGAGAGGAGUGCAGGUAGUGAUACCGACGGCAGCAAUUCAUCACGACGAAGAGUUAUGGGGGAGAAGCGUAGAUGAUUUCAAGCCAGAAAGAUUUUCGGAAGGGAUAGCAAAGGCAACCGAAAGAAACCCAGGUGGCGGUACGUAUCUCCCCUUUGGAUUAGGGCCUCGAAGCUGCGUUGGGAUGAACUUUGCAUUGAACGAAGCCAAAAUAGCAAUCUCCAUGAUUCUUCAACGAUUCUCCUUCACUCUCUCCCCUGCCUAUGCUCAUUCCCCUGCUAUGUUGCUUACAAUUGCUCCUCAGCAUGGACUUCAACUCAUUCUUCAUCCACUUUCCACACAUCAAUAAAGCACUUCCAUGAUGUGAUUCUCAAUCCACUUGAAGAGGGACGUUUGGAACGUUGAGUUGCUAUUAAGUCUUAUUGGAACGUGUUUAGUCUUUAAAUUCAAUCAUUUAUAUUUGUUUCAACGCAGAGUUUUGAAAUUUAUAAGGUAAUAUAAAUUAGACUUGUUAUUCAAAUUUGAUUUCAAAGAACAUGAAUUUAACUUAGAUAAACCAAGUGUUAAUGGUCUUUAGAUAUAGUCGAUCUCAAGCCUUAGUGUAUAGUUUAUCUUCAUCAUUCGCUACCCAUUCAAUUUAUACCCCAACAAGCAUAACAAAUCGCUUUUGAAGAUUGUGUUUGUUUACUUAGAGCAAUUUAUCUCUUCAUUAUGUUUAAAUUCAAGAGGAUUAAUGCAAGAAUGAGAAACCUAUUACCAAAUUGGACUUAAAAUGAGGCCAUUGGAAAUGAAAAUUUGGGCCGAGAAGAAAAGCCUUAAUGGUUUUAAGAAAGAAGAGUGUGUGUUUGGAUGACCUUGAGAUUGAGCUAACAAAGAACAAAGAGCUCAACACCACAUUUUGAUUCAAUUUUAACUAUACUCAAACGGUGAUUAUUCUUUUAACUGUGAAGAACACAUUUUACGAAUCUGUCAUUGAUUCCACUCAAAUCUGCUCUUGGAAUAUCUACAAUCAUGUUGUAAUAUAUUAUUCUUCGACGUUUUAAUAAUAAGUAAAGAAAACAUUAUACCCUUUUUACUAUGCUAUAAUUAUUAAAAAUAAUAAUGUGAUGUGUUUGUUUGUUGUGUUUGAGCGAACCGGGUUCAUCAUUAUAUUAAAUCUGCCGUCCCUAUUGAUUUCAACCGGCCAUUUUGAAGAUGGAUAGAGUUUGUAUUUGUUUGUGUGUUGUCGUUUUGUACAAUUAAAGGUUGCGUUUUGAGUAUAAACUCCAAACAUAUAACAUAAAUAUUUCUUCCUUACAACACAUAAAAGGACUUUUUUGGUUCUUUAUAACGUCUUCUUUCUCUUCAUGGCCCUACAUUAUUCCUUUACUCUCUCUUUAUUCAUUUUUUUCACUUCACUCUUAUCAAAUCAAUUAAGUGUAAUAGCAAUGUGUUAACUUUAAAUUAAAAUAUUUAUCAACUAUUCAUCAUUGUCUAUCAAUGUCAUCGAUAGAAGCAUAUCAACGACAUUAUUGUUUCUUAUAUGUUGUAAAUAUUUUGUCAUAUUUGCUAUUUUUGACAAUUUUCCUUAGAUUAUUGUUUGUUUCUUUCAAGUGGUUAAUCAUAUAUGGUGUUUAGUGUUUUUUUUAUUGUUUUAAGUAGUUUGAGACUUCCAUUAGAAGUAACGUACGAGAACUCAUCUUCAUGGAAUUUCUCGAUUAGUUGUGGGUGUUUAGUCUUUUUUUUUUUUCUAUUUUUGUACAUUUUCUUAACUUCUUUGUUCGUCAAUCGAAGGUGUGAAGUCAAAUUCUCUAUACUAUAAUUCGAUAUUUUUACAAAAUAAAGAAAAAUGAAUUUAAAUAUAUAUGUAGUAGACAUUAACAUUAACAUUAAUGAUAAUCAAAAGUGAGUAGCAAAGAAGAAAGAAGAAAAAUAAAGGUUAAAAGUAGAAUCUCGAAAGCUAAGUAGUGAAUAAGAACAAAAGUAGAUGAAUUUGAUUAUUAAUAGUUGAGAGGUGGGAGUGUGACGUAAGAAUUAAAUUAUAAUAAAGAAGGUCACACGUGGUAGCUUUGGUAUUAUUGUAAAAAAUAAUAAGAAGAUACGAAGAAGAAGAAGAAGAAAUUGUGUUUGUGGAGAGAACAUUUAUGAGAAUUAAUAGUUUGGUUUAAAAUUAAAUGAUUUGGUGGUGUGAUACGAAUUCAAUUAACUACUUUUCCAUAACUAUAACUAUAAAUAAAUGCUUUGUGUACACAUUCGUCCCCACUCUUUAUCCUUCAUAUGCCCUUUUCCCUCUCCCACACCUUUCUUCUAUUCACUAUUAAUUAUCAAACCAAUUAAAUUCCCACAUUUCAUAUAUUUUAUGUCAAUUUACAUAUUUUUACUUUGACCUAACGUCACUUUAACGAUUUAAGUAUAAAUUACGGGAAAUUUUAGAUUCUAGUAUACGACACAUUUAAGAUUUUCAAAUUCAGUGAUAUAAAUUAAAAUGAAAUGGAAAUUAUUACCAAUUUUUUAUGGUGAUUACGGCUACCUUAUGAUAGUAAUCUAUGACUUUCUAAUAUUAAUUAUUUUAUGAGAAUCACUUUAUGAUAUUAACUUUGAAAUAAGACGUUUAAUUUUGUUCGUGGAUAUUAGUUAUUUAUAUUAGAAUAUGUGGAAUGUGACGAUGAUAAUAAACAAUAGUUGUUAUAAAUAUAACUAAAAAACAAUUAUACAUACAUGUGAUAUAGUUUAAUAAUGUGUUAAUUAAUUAGGUUGUGCUCAAAUGGGAUAAUACACCAUACCAACUACAUAAAUAGAGUUGUUUGUUACAAUUAUGAACACCAACUACUUUUUUAAUAAAAUCUAACCUACAAAAUUUAUGGAUUAUUUAUACAUAUUUUUUUUUGUACAAUUUUGACUACAUAUAUAUUUGGAUAGAAAUCGAUAACUUUUUUCACUAUCUAUCAAUAUGUGUCACUGAUAGAAGCAUAUGAAUGUCUAUCAAUGUUUACUACUGAUAGAAUUUGAAAUUUUGCUUUUUGUUGUAAAUGAUUUUGUCAAAUUUACUAUUUUAUAUUAUUCUCUUAUAUAUUUUGAUAUCGGUUGAAUUUAUGUUUGACAUAGAGUAAUUCUUUAUUUGCUUUUCUGAGACAAUGACGAAAAUAUUUUGGAUUAUAUUAAAAUAGUUUCACAUUUUCAUCUUCCAAAAAAAAUUAGGUUAAUUUUUAUAAAUAUAACAAACAGCCAAAUAUUUGUAUAACCAAAUAAAAAGUUCCAUUAAGCUCGUCAUUUCUUAAAAAUAUUUCGAGUUUAUUCUUCUUUUUUAUCGUCUUUAUCUUUCCACGUUCUUUUUUAGAAAAUUCGAGAUUUUCUAAUUGUUUUAUUAUGGGUAAAUAUUUUAGUUGACCCACCAACAUUAACUAUUUUAAUUAGUGAAAGAGCAAGAAAAUAAAAAAUAAAAAAAGAAAUUGGUGACUUUUUUCUUUCUUGUAAUAUUUGAAGAAAAAAAUAUAAAGUUGGAUUGAAAAUAGAAGAGAGGGAGAGAAGCAUGAGAAGAAGGUACUUCAAAACAAGCCACGUGAGAAUGUUUGACUUAUGAAAAUGACAGGUGGACAUGCCACAUGAGCAAUCUCAAUUCUCACAUACAUACAUAAAGAUGAUGACACAUAUGCAUACGUGUCAUUUUAUCAAUUUACUAAAAUAACAAAUAGUUUCCCUAAACCCUUUUUCAUUACUAGCUCAUUAGGGUAUCAAUAUUUACAAACUAAUUGGACGAAACAAAACAAACACAACCCUAUUUCAUUUCGAGAAGAAAAAAGUUCGAAAUCUGUAGCUAGUGAGACCUGUUAAAUGUAUCGAAAUAAUUGUUUAAAGUGAUCAUACGAUUUGAUGUCAAUAUAAUAUAGUUUGAUUAAACUUUUUGUUUACUUUUUCUUUUUAUAUAAGAAAAUGUGAUAUUUGACUUUUUAUUUUCUAAUUGGAUUCCUCUGUAUAUGAUUAGAAAAAAAAAAAAAAAAAAGAAAAGUAGACAACUUUGCUUUAUGGGUCGGUUUGCUUAACAAAUAAAUCGUUUUUGGCAUUACUAUUACUAUACUCAAGAAAUACAAAUAUCAAAUUAAUUCACUUAUGUCAAUGGAUCAUAUUUUAAUGUUCUUUCUUUUUAAGAAUUAAAGAGGCUAUUUCAUGCAGUUUAAUUAACUUCUAAUAUAAUUAUUCAACUAUUGUCCUUUCUUGGUGCACAACCUAUUCAAUUAAAUAUAAUUUAAAACGAUUAAUAAAAUAUCUAUAGUUUCAAUCAUGGAUCAACGUCUUCCAAACAAGGACACAACUUGUGAUAGUCUUCUUCUAUUCUUAUUCAUUUCGGUAUUUAUCAUAUUGUGGUUGAGCUCACUUAUCUAGAGGGUGGUUAAUUAAUCAACUUACUUUAAUGCAGUCUCGUUAGAUUUUAUAGAACGUAUAUGUAUAAGGCAUUGUCCCAAUAAAUAUAUAUUAUUUAAAGUAAUAUUAUCGCAUGUUAUGAAAAAUCUUUUUAUGAGAGUCAUAAUAAAUACUUUCAAUAAAUAUUAUAUAAAGAAUAAUUCUAAAUAUUAUAUAUAAUUUAACCAUCUAUGUCCAUUUAGUCAUAUUUGUGGAUUCUCGUUUGGUAACUUAUUUAUUUGUAUUUUUGUUAACUUUGACUUUAAGUUUUUCAAAAAAUGAGUAUGUUUGGUAAUCGUUUUCUUUUUCAAAUAAGGAAUUUGUUUUUCUUUUUAAAAAAAUGACGAAGGAAAUUAACUGAAAAUAAGAAAUAAAGCUUUCGUUCUUAGAUCCGUUAUAAAACUUAUAUAGUUUUUGUUUUUAAUAAAAAAAAACUAGAAUGAUGAUGA
rnacentral:lncRNA from 1 species